UACGUAGGCAGCGAGCGUUGUUCGGAGUUACUGGGCGUAAAGGGUGCGUAGGCGGUUGUUUAAGUUUGGUGUGAAAUCUCCCGGCUCAACUGGGAGGGUGCGCCGAAUACUGAAUGACUAGAGUGCGGGAGAGGAUAGUGGAAUUCCUGGUGUAGCGGUGAAAUGCGUAGAUAUCAGGAGGAACACCGGUGGCGAAGGCGGCAUCCUGGACCAACACUGACACUGAGGAGCGAAAGCCAGGGGAGCAAACGGG
rnacentral:rRNA from 1 species